AACUAUGUGCCAGCAGCUGCGGUAAUACAUAGGUCGCGAGCGUUAUUCGGAUUUAUUGGGCGUAAAGCAAGCGCAGGCGGAUGGAUAAGUUCUGUGUGAAAAGCAGCUGCUCAACGGCUGUUGGCGCCGAAUACUAUCCAUCUAGAAUACGGUAGGAAGUUUUGGAAUUGAAUAUGGAGCGGUGGAAUGUGUAGAUAUAUUCAAGAACACCAGAGGCGAAGGCGAAAACUUAGGCCGCUAUUGACGCUUAGGCUUGAAAGUGUGGGGAGCAAAUGGGAUUAGAUACCCCAGUAGUCCACACCGUAAACGAUGGGUAUUAAGUCUUGGGGCUGGAGCCUCAGGGUUGGAGCUUACGUGUUAAAUACCCCGCCUGGGUAGUACAUAUGCAAAUAUGAAACUCAAAGGAAUUGACGGGGACCUGAACAAGUGGUGGAACAUGUUGCUUAAUUCGAUACUACACGAAAAACCUUACCAAGAUUUGACAUCCCUCGCGAAACUUUAGAGAUAAAGUAGAGGAUAUCGAGGUGACAGGUGGUGCAUGGUUGUCGUCAGCUCGUGUCGUGAGAUGUUGGGUUAAGUCCCGCAACGAGCGCAACCCUACUCUCUAGUUGGUUGUUUAGAGAGACUGAACAGUAAUGUAUAGGAAGGUCGGGAUCACGUCAAAUCAUCAUGCCCCUUAUGUCUUGGGCUGCAAACGUGUUACAAUGGCAGGCACAAAGUGCAGCGAACUAGCGAUAGCAAGCAAAUCACUAAAAACCUGUCUCAGUCCGGAUAAAAGGCUGCAAUUCGCCUUUUUGAAGUUGGAAUCACUAGUAAUCCCGUGUCAGCUAUAUCGGGGUGAAUACGUUCCCAGGUCUUGUACAC
rnacentral:rRNA from 1 species